rnacentral:rRNA from 1 species
GGGUCAGUAGGUUGGUCGUGCCACCGGUACGUACUGGUCUCACUGAUUCCUCCUUCCUGAAGAACCGUAAUGCCAUUAAUUUGGUGUUGCGGGGAAACAGGACUGUUACUUUGAAAAAAUUAGAGUGUUUAAAGCAAGCUAACGCUUGAAUACAUUAGCAUGGAAUAAUGAAAUAGGACGAUCGAUCCUAUUUUGUUGGUUUCUAGGAUUGACGUAAUGACUGAUAGGAAUAGUUGGG